rnacentral:rRNA from 1 species
GAGUUUGAUUAUGGCUCAGGAUGAACGCUGGCGGCGUGCCUAACACAUGCAAGUCGAGCGCGGUUGUGCUUAGUAUUGAGUGUUUUAUUGAUAUAAAACAUUGAAUUCUAUGCACAACUGAGCGGCGGACGGGUGAGUAACGCGUGGGUAACCUGCCCUAUACACAUGGAUAACAUACUGAAAAGUUUACUAAUACAUGAUAAAAUAGUUUUUCGGCAUCGAAGAAUUAUCAAAGUGUUAGCGGUAUAGGAUGGACCCGCGUCUGAUUAGCUAGUUGGUGAGAUAACUGCCCACCAAGGCGACGAUCAGUAGCCGACCUGAGAGGGUGAUCGGCCACAUUGGAACUGAGACACGGUCCAAACUCCUACGGGAGGCAGCAGUGGGGAAUAUUGCACAAUGGGCGCAAGCCUGAUGCAGCAACGCCGCGUGAACGAUGAAGGUCUUCGGAUCGUAAAGUUCUGUUGCAGGGGAAGAUAAUGACGUACCCGNGAGCC